UUCAUGUGACUGAGCGGCGGACGGGUGAGUAACGCGUGGGCAACCUGCCUUACACAGGGGGAUAACAGUUAGAAAUGACUGCUAAUACCGCAUAAGACCCCGGGACCGCAUGGUUCCGAGGUAAAAACUCCGGUGGUGUAAGAUGGGCCCGCGUCUGAUUAGGUAGUUGGCGGGGUAACGGCCCACCAAGCCGACGAUCAGUAGCCGACCUGAGAGGGUGACCGGCCACAUUGGGACUGAGACACGGCCCAGACUCCUACGGAAGGCAGCAG
rnacentral:rRNA from 1 species